rnacentral:rRNA from 1 species
GUAGGGGGCAAGCGUUGUCCGGAAUCAUUGGGCGUAAAGCGCGUGUAGGCGGUCCGGUAAGUCGGUUGUGAAAGUCCAGGGCUCAACCCUGGGAUGCCGAUCGAUACUGCCGGACUAGAGUCCGGAAGAGGCGAGUGGAAUUCCCGGUGUAGCGGUGAAAUGCGCAGAUAUCGGGAGGAACACCAAUGGCGAAGGCAGCUCGCUGGGACGGUACUGACGCUGAGACGCGAAAGCGUGGGGAGCAAACAGGAUUAGAUACCCUGGUAGUCCACGCCGUAAACGAUGGGCACUAGGUGUGGGAGGUGUCGACUCCUCCCGUGCCGCAGCUAACGCAUUAAGUGCCCCGCCUGGGGAGUACGGUCGCAAGGCUG